CUGACCCAAACCUUUCUAGCACUUAUUAGUAAGUGCAAUCCUUACCAACAUCCAUUAGUAGGUGUGCCUUCCUGUAUCCUUCAGUGAAUACAAAAUAAACCUGACAUCCCUUAGUGAAUACCACCCAAUAAAAAUUGUUUAACCAAAAAUCCAAAAAUUACAAAACCAAAAUAAUCAAAAGAAAGUAAUGUUCAACAAUCAUUGGGGUGCCUCCCAGCAAGCGCUCUUUUAACGUCACUAGCUUGACCCAAUAAAGCUCAUGUCUCAUCCUUCAUGUUGGUGUCUUCUUCGCCUUCAUCACACCAACACAUCAAUUGCUUCACAUCAAUUGCUUUCGGUCCACCUUCUUGACUUUCCUAGAAUAUGAAGUUUCAAUCUCUAUCACUCCAUUCUCCUUAUAGCCUCUCACCACCC
rnacentral:lncRNA from 1 species